rnacentral:rRNA from 1 species
UACGUAGGGUGCAAGCGUUAAUCGGAAUUACUGGGCGUAAAGCGUGCGCAGGCGGUUUUGCAAGCCGGAUGUGAAAUCCCCGGGCUCAACCUGGGAAUGGCAUUCGGGACUGCAAGGCUGGAGUGCGGCAGAGGAGACUGGAAUUCCUGGUGUAGCAGUGAAAUGCGUAGAUAUCAGGAGGAAUACCGAUGGCGAAGGCAGGUCUCUGGGCUGACACUGACGCUCAUGCACGAAAGCGUGGGGAGCAAACAGGG